CCAUUUAAAGAAAAAUAUUUUCUAAUAAAUUCUUUUUAGAAAUAGGUCAGCAGCCUUUUGUAUAAGAAAUAGUGUUGGAGAUUUGAUCAGUGCUAGGGGAAGAAGAUUACAAGACACUACUAACAUUAUUGCAGAGCUUAUAGCUAUAAAAGAUGGUCUGAAAUUUUGUCUAGAGAAUCAUCUGAUUCCAGUUAUAGUUGAACAAAUUCAUUAGCUAUGAGAAACAUGUUGGAAGGAGAAUGGGAGGUUCCUUGGUGUGUGACAUUGGAAGUUAAUGCAAUUCAAGCCAUGAGGGAGGGUUAUGAUGUGCAAGUUGUGCAUGUGCUCAGAGAAAGGAAUACUCUGGCUGAUUAUUUCACUAACCUGAUUUUUUAUUUGCAGGCACAAUUGAAUUCAAUUCAUUUCAGGAGGUUCCAUUAACAGGGAAGAAGAUCAUCAACCCGGACAAGAGUCAAACACCUAAGAUGAGAACAACGCCCAUGAGAAGAGAAGGACAAGACUGAGUCACAUCAAAUUACAUGUAACAAGUCUGAGGAUUGAGAAUACAACUUGCAUGCUCUAUGGAUGCAUUUCAGUGACAGAUGGAUUCAACAUUAGGUUAAUUUGAUGGUGGUAUUAGCAUGCUCUAUCCACGUGGCCUUUCUUCAACAGCCUCAUCGGCGUCAACUUUAAAAUUUCUCCGACGCCGCCGGUAACGUUUCAUCCUCAUAGGGAAACGCCGUUUCAAUGGAGGUCUCAGGUGGACGGUGUCACGAAGGAAUUUGUGGACGGAGGAAUCGAGUUUGGCGGCAUCGGCUAUGGCCAUUAAUGCUUGUAGAAACAAGAGAGAGAGAAAUGGGGGGUUAUAGCUGAGGCAAUAGGAAGGUUUUCGGAGAUAUAUCAAAGAGUAGACAAGGCAAAACAGAGACCAAUGGUGGAGUUGAAAUUUGCUGAAGAUUUGGAGAUACAACAGAGAAGGAAACUGAUUAUGGAGUCACAAGUGCAUCUUAAAUGCUCGGACGUAGAUUGCAAUCCAGUCCACACGAGUGCUUGUGCAUGUAUCCUGUGUUGCGCGGACUCGACCCUUCAAAAGUAGUACAUAUUUGGAGGAUAUGACAAAGGCUGAAAACUCUAUUUUCCUUGUCUUGGAGUUUUGUGCUGGCGGGGAUCUGGCUUCUUAUAUUUAGAAUCAUGGCAGAGUUCAAGAAUGUGUAGCUAGAAAAUUUAUGAGACAGAUUGGAGCUGGCCUAGAGGUACUAAGCAUGCACCAAAUCAUCCACCGUGACUUGAAGCCGGAGCAAAAAGGUUCUCUUUCUGGAUGUUGAGCACGAAAAUUGAGCAUUUUGCAGCAUCGUCACUUCAAUUCGGCUAGAGGUGCUUGGAGUGAGCUAGAGGAGUGCUUUUCAUAUCGCUUUUCUGCAUGUGGACUUAUUUUAUGCCUUGAAAGGAUGACAGAUAACCUUCUUAAAAAAAAAAAAGGAUUACAGAUGAUUCUACCCCAAUUGUCUCACCCUACUUUUAUGGGACUAUGUCAGACACUGCUAUGGACUAAGAGAGAGAAGGUAGUCUAUCCAAGGGGUGGAAGUCACUUCUUUUAUCAUAUGUUCGCGUCUCUUUCAUCAUAGACAGUUUCUCCAUGAGUUUAAGGGGUUCAUGUUGCUAAGGAAAUCAAUUCAGCGAUACUGAUUCCAAC